rnacentral:rRNA from 1 species
GAUCCUGCCGGACCCGACUGCUAUCAGAGUGGGACUAAGCCAUGCGAGUCAACGUAGAAAUACGUGGCAAACGGCUCAGUAACACGUAGUCAACAUGCCCAGGGGACGUGGAUAACCUCGGGAAACUGAGGAUAAACCGCGAUAGGCCAUGAUUUCUGGAAUGGUUCAUAGCCGAAAUCUAUAUGGCCCCUGGAUUGGACUGCGGCCGAUCAGGCUGUUGGUGAGGUAAUGGCCCACCAAACCUGUAACCGGUACGGGCUCUGAGAGGAGGAGCCCGGAGAUGGGCACUGAGACAAGGGCCCAGGCCCUAUGGGGCGCAGCAGGCGCGAAAUCUCUGCAAUAGGCGAAAGCUUGACAGGGUUACUCUGAGUGAUUCCCGCUAAGGGGAUCUUUUGGCACCUUUAAAAAUGGUGCAGAAUAAGGGGUGGGCAAGUCUGGUGUCAGCCGCCGCGGUAAUACCAGCACCCCGAGUGGUCGGGACGAUUAUUGGGCCUAAAGCAUCCGUAGCCGGUACUGCAAGUCUUCCGUUAAAUCCACCUGCUUAACAGUUGGGCUGCGGGGGAUACUACAGCGCUAGGAGGCGGGAGAGGCAAGCGGUACUCAAUGGGUAGGGGUAAAAUCCGCUGAUCCAUUGAAGACCACCAGUGGCGAAGGCGGCUUGCCAGAACGCGCUCGACGGUGAGGGAUGAAAGCUGGGGGAGCAAACCGGAUUAGAUACCCGGGUAGUCCCAGCUGUAAACGAUGCAGACUCGGUGAUGGGCUGGCCUUGUGCCAACCCAGUGCCGCA